rnacentral:rRNA from 1 species
UCGCCCUUCGGGGUGCCCAGGCGCGAAAACUUUACAAUGCCGGCAACGGCGAUAAGGGGACCUCGAGUGCCAGGUUACAAAUCUGGCUGUCGUGAUGCCUAAAAAGCAUUGCAUAGCAAGGGCCGGGCAAGACCGGUGCCAGCCGCCGCGGUAACACCGGCGGCUCGAGUGGUAACCGUUAUUAUUGGGUCUAAAGGGUCUGUAGCCGGCCGGAUAAGUCUCUUGGGAAAUCUGGCAGCUUAACUGUCAGGCUUUCAGGAGAUACUGUCUGGCUCGAGGCCGGGAGAGGUGAGAGGUACUUCAGGGGUAGGGGUGAAAUCUUGUAAUCCUUGAAGGACCACCAGUGGCGAAGGCGUCUCACCAGAACGGACCUGACGGCAAGGGACGAAAGCUAGGGGCACGAACCGGAUUAGAUACCCGGGUAGUCCUAGCCGUAAACGAUACUCGCUAGGUGUCGGCCACGGUGCGACCGUGGUCGGUGCCGUAGGGAAGCCGUGAAGCGAGCCACCUGGGAAGUACGGCCGCAAGGCUGAAACUUAAAGGAAUUGGCGGGGGAGCAC